AACCCCAUCUUCACUUUGCCACCUGGAACCUCUCUGUCCUCGGUGGUCAUUCACAUGGGGAAAAGUAGUUGAUCCUUAAGCAUCCCAGCCGAACUUUAUGUUUUGACCUGGGCUUGCAAUGAGGAGACAGCA
rnacentral:snoRNA from 1 species